rnacentral:rRNA from 1 species
UACGUAGGGGGCAAGCGUUAUCCGGAUUUAUUGGGCGUAAAGGGAACGCAGGCGGUCUUUUAAGUCUGAUGUGAAAGCCUUCGGCUUAACCGGAGUAGUGCAUUGGAAACUGGGAGACUUGAGUGCAGAAGAGGAGAGUGGAACUCCAUGUGUAGCGGUGAAAUGCGUAGAUAUAUGGAAGAACACCAGUGGCGAAAGCGGCUCUCUGGUCUGUAACUGACGCUGAGGUUCGAAAGCGUGGGUAGCGAACAGG